UUCCGGUUGAUCCCGCCGGACCCGACUGCUAUCAGAGUGAGAUUAAGCCAUGCGAGUUAACGUAGCAAUACGUGGCGCACGGCUCAGUAACACGUAGUCAACAUGCCCAGAGGACGUGGAUAACCUCGGGAAACUGAGUCUAAACCGCGAUAAGUGAGGAUUUCUGGAAUGGAUCCUGACUAAAAUCUAUAUGGCCUCUGGAUUGGACUGCGGCCGAUCAGGCUGUUGGUGAGGUAAUGGCCCACCAAACCUGUAACCGGUACGGGCUCUGAGAGGAGGAGCCCGGAGAUGGGCACUGAGACAAGGGCCCAGGCCCUAUGGGGCGCAGCAGGCGCGAAACCUCUGCAAUAGGCGAAAGCCUGACAGGGUUACUCUGAGUGACUUUCGCUAAGAAAGUCUUUUGGCACCUCUAAAAAGGGUGCAGAAUAAGGGGUGGGCAAGUCUGGUGUCAGCCGCCGCGGUAAUACCAGCACCCCGAGUGGUCGGGACGAUUAUUGGGCCUAAAGCAUCCGUAGCCGGUUCUGCAAGUCCUCCGUUAAAUCCAGCUGCUCAACAGAUGGGCCGCGGAGGAUACUACAGAGCUAGGAGGCAGGAGAGGCAAGCGGUACUCAGUGGGUAGGGGUAAAAUCCGUUGAUCCAUUGAAGACCACCAGUGGCGAAGGCGGCUUGCCAGAAUGCGCUCGAC
rnacentral:rRNA from 1 species